rnacentral:ncRNA from 1 species
UGACACCACGGACGCAUCGAUCCUCGGGUAGAGGUUCCAGACGGUCGCCCAUCGGGUUGGGGCUGUUCCAGCGCCAACCGCCGGUGACCCGGGGGGAGCGAAUGGCGAGACCGGCCGUGAGAUGA